UAACGCGUGGGCAACCUGCCUUAUACAGGGGGAUAACAGCUGGAAACAGCUGCUAAUACCGCAUAAGCGCACAGCGGCGCAUGACGCAGUGUGAAAAACUGAGGUGGUAUAAGAUGGGCCCGCGUCUGAUUAGCUGGUUGGGAGGGUAACGGCCUACCAAGGCGACGAUCAGUAGCCGGCCUGAGAGGGCGGACGGCCACAUUGGGACUGAGACACGGCCCAGACUCCUACGGAAGGCAGCAG
rnacentral:rRNA from 1 species